AGCUGUCCUUGGGGAACAAAUAAGAGAUCAUGCACCUGUUCGAGACAUUUGUUGGAAAGCAAUUGAUUUUGGUAUCAGAGAAUCCAUCGUUGUUAGAGUUGGGCAAACUUUUGACAUUGGGGACUACAAGAAUGAUAUGGAGGCUACGGAAACCAUAGACCUAAAGUGUUAGGAUUUAUACAAGGAAUGGAAGAGCAACUUGUGCACAUGCUAUUUUGCCAUGAAAAAUAAGGUAGCUGACCCCAAAAAUCAUGCACCAUAUCCCUGUAAGCCAGAGGACUGGGUGUUCAUGAUUGAUAAUGUGUGGGAGACCAAGGACCGGAAGACGAAGUCCAACAGAGGAAAGCAUGCCCGAUCGAAGGUGAAAUUCAAUCAUACAAGUGGCUCCAGAUCGUUUAUAUCGCGAGCUUCUAUGAUUCUAAAAGAGAAGCGUAAAAAAUAGAACAUUGCGGAGAAGUUUGAGAUGACCCAUAGACGUCAUCGACAUGGGGGAGAGUGGAUAAACGACAAGGCUCGAGAGCAUCAUGCUACAUUAAAAGCAAAGCUUAAAGAACAAUCGCAGCCUAACGUCACUAAUCCUUCAUCUGAGCGAUAAAUUUCCGUUGAUGUGCUUGGAAAGAGGUCAGUUUAUGUGAAGGAAUACGGGAGCCGCAUGAGUACUAUUUCAUCGUUCAAUCAACCUCAGGAACCUGAUCCCGAGGCAACUGUUCUACAGAAGAAGGUUGACGAUCAAGCUAAGACCUUGACUAAGCAUUCUCGGACAAUGACAGUAGUUCAAGGCCUUCUUCAGGU